rnacentral:rRNA from 1 species
AACGUAGGAGGCGAGCGUUAUCCGGAUUUACUGGGCGUAAAGCGCGUGUAGGCGGUUUCAUAAGUCGUGCGUGAAAGCUCCCUGGCUCAACCGGGAGAGGUCGUGCGAUACUGCGAAACUUGAGUCAGACAGAGGCAAGUAGAAUUCCGGGUGUAGUGGUGAAAUGCGUAGAUAUCCGGAGGAAUACCAGUGGCGAAGGCGAGUCUCUGGACAUUUCCUGACGCUGAGGCACGAAAGCCAGGGGGAGCAAACGGG